ensembl:lncRNA
UUUUAACGCUUCCCGGAUCUUGCUUAUGAGAUCACUCUUCACUUAUGAGUGCUGGCCUUGCAGAACGGCACACUCCUGAAUAAAUUCAGCUUGAUGUAUUCAAGGAGGAUCUGCACACUGUCCUCUUCACCACAGGCAUCUGCAGCAUUCCUGAAAGAUGAGCUGGCAGGAACCUGGAGGUCUCUUUUGCAGAUUUUCACCACAUCCAUCAUGCAUCUCAUUUGAGAUAAGCCUCCUUUGCAUGAGCCAGCAUUACUGGAAAAAA